rnacentral:lncRNA from 1 species
UCUUUACGGUUUUAAAAGGAAGAGAGAGAGAGAAACUGAGAGUGAGAGAGGGUACGGGAUAGUGAGACACGAGAAAGAGAAGAGAGUGAUAUGUUUUAUAUGUGUGGGUGGUCCAUCUAAGUUCCUAACCACACAAUUACAAACAAUUUUAAUCCAACUUGAUUUUUUUCCAAAAACUUAGGAAAAUAUACAAUAAUCAACUUAUUUGUCACACAUACCUUAGUCACCUUAAGGGUAAUUCCAUCAUUUCACAUCCCCGACAAAUAAAUUUCGAGAUAGGCUGUGACAUUUGUGUAUUUAUACUUUGACCCGAAAGUUUACCUUUUUACGUAAAGGCCCAAAAUCACUAAAGGACAAAAUGUUUUGCUCCUUUAAUGAAGUCUUUGUAUUUUGAUGAAAUUUUUGGGUUCUAGUUGUAAUUACAUGAAGUAGUGGACUUUUGUGUUUUUACAAGGUGACCACAAAAGUUUGUGUUUUGCAAAAUAACCCAAUGGUUGAGGUUAUUUUUUUUUCGACCUAAAUUAGUUGAGAACAAAAUAGUUUUGUAUCUUUAAAUGAGAAUUGGAUUUGCAUUUCAUUUAGCUCCAUUUAAAUCAAUUCUAUGGUUACAAAAACCAGAUGAAAAUGUUGCAUUCAUGUUUAAUUAGUUAAAGCGUUAAUUAAUUGAAGAAAUGGUGAUUAUGAACCUAAGCCUACGAUAAUUGAGCUUUGUGACCAAGGGAAUGCGUAGAUUAGAUUUUGGUUGUAAUUUGAUAUGAUCAAAUAUUGUGAAAGAGCAUAAGCUUUUCUUUACUUUAAAGUAAUUUGUUUUGAUCAAAUGUUGUAAAAGAGCAUAAGCUCUUCUUUACUUUGAAGUACUUCUUUCUUUCUUUAUUUGAUAUGCAUGGAAAUGAAGUAGAGGGUCCAACGCCCAAUAAGAAAACACGCCUUAAUGUGAUUAAAUGCUUAACUAAAAUCAAUCACCAUCCCUAGACCGAGAUUCAACACUAGGCUCGUGUUGGAUCGAAUCAAAGGUUCAUAGUCAUCCUAAGGCCCUAAGGCAACUAUAUAGUCCAUCAAUGAAUGCAAACCUUAUGUUAGUAGUACCAUAUACUUUUUCUUUAAAAACCGUUUUACAAGCAUAGUGGGAGUAUCAUAUACAACUAAAUCAAUCACAUGGACCAAUAGUUAUAAUAGGACCAAAUUGUUUUAAUAAGAUUAAAAUGCAUGCUUAUAUGUGAUGAGACCUAAAACCCUCAACUAAACCAUUAUUAAGUUGAUAAGCAUGAGAGUUCUUUGAACACUCUUUCGUGGCCUUCUACCGUGGUAGGCUCCGAUCAUUUGUGACUCGUACACCGACUUCACCCUAUCAUGGGGGAGUACAAAGUGCGUGCUUACACUCAGGAGGAGUUCUAUAUGCAUACAUAAUGUUGUGAAGGUAGGCAACGAGAAUGAUCAAUAUCAUAUCAUUGUGAGUUUGUUCUUGAACCCCUACUCGAACUUGCUAGUGGGAAUGACUUAACUAAGUGGAAUGGAGCCAACAUCAUAUCAUUGUGAGGCUUCAUUCUCUAGAGGCCAAAUAAGAUGGGUACUUGCAAGAGAUACAAAUAAGUAAGCAUACUCUCUCAUUAUUAUUGAUGCUAGCCAACAUCAUAUCAUUGUGAGGUGGGCUUGGUAAUAGUGAGUCUCCCAUACCCUACUAAGAGUUUCCUUCAAAACUUUCGAAUUCCGAUGAGGGAUAUGGAAUUUGCCAAAAAUAGUGGGUGGUGCUAUUUGAUUUAAAGACCUGGAUCAAAAAGCUUAAAACAAUCAAUUUAUAUUUGUUAUGUAUUUGUUUACCGAUAUAUUUGCAAACGCUAUCCAAAACUUGACAAAGAAAAGCCGAAUGCUUUAGGACAUGUUGAUAAUGUACCACAAUCCCAUAUAUUCUCUUAAAUGGAUUAUAUAUUUACCUAAGUAGUCUCAGCCUCACAAUCUUCCUAUUGAUAAUGUAUCAUUGGAAGAACAUGUUAGAUAAGUCUAUCAUAAAGAGGACAACACAAACAACCAAUGCUUAUUCCUUUGUUAUAUGAACAAAGGAACUUAUGAAGAUUAGCAUAAGGACAAAGACACUUUUAGUGCCAUAGUUCUUCACUUACAAAUCGUUGUAUGAAGAAAUAAGAGUUGCUUUGAACAACCCUUAGUUAAUGCAAAGACUAGUGCUUGUUUCUUUGUUAUAUAAACAAAGAACUUGAGAAGUAAGCGCAAGGGCAUGGACACUUUAUCUGCCAUGAUUCUUCACUUACAAAUUGUUGUAUGAAGAAAUAAGAGUUGCCUUAACAACUCUUGAAAGUUUGUAAUUAAGUUUAGAACAUAAUGGUUGGUUGAUAAAAAUAGUCCAUCAACAUGGAAUUAUGAUGAUUUUGAAUCAUUGAGUGUUGAAGUGUUAAACCACUUCACGAGACGGAAACUAGGCAAGGACUUCACUUUUGUGUCCCUAUCCAAAUGGUUCACUAAGUUUAUUGUAAACUAUAUAGUGAACAAUAACCACACGCUCUCCAAACUGUUUGAUGUGUAUAACACAAUUGAAAUAAGUUUCAAGAGAGAUAGUGGGAGUUUAGGGACCAUGACUAUUGUAGUCAAAGGAGAAGUCAAAUGAAGCAGGCGAAAUAACUCUAAGGGAACAAACUUUCUUUAUGAAAGGAUGGACAUUGGAAGGUGUUGGAAAUGUGCCCUAAAACCAAUCAUGUGAUACUUUACGAACAUUUCACAUGUUAAACUAAUCUAGUUUAAUAUCAAGGGCAAAGAUUAUUGUUUUAAGCCGUCUCAUAUAAAUGUUAUAUGCUUAAACGAUAAGUCCAAGGAAUAUGUAAUUAGGAGAAUGUAAUUUAAACAAGUUAGAUUUAUGAGACCAUUCUCUUUUGUAUACAUAUCCUAAACGUUCCUGAUCAUAGGAUUGCCAAUUGGGCAUUGAUAGUCCGUUAAGAUCAGUACGUGCUGCGUCUUCUCUCAUGGAGAGUGAUUGGUCUCGAGUCAUUGGUGUGAUUGACACCAAGACAAGCAUGUAGGUGCUCAAUAGCGAAUGAGUCCACUGAACAUGAUCAACGAGGAGUUCUCAUACUCAUGUCACAUGAGAACUCAUGGUUGGAAUAAUGCAAAGUAGUCCUUUGACCUGAGGCAUCAUAGUUGUCUUGUGGUUAAGUCCUUGAUCUUUGACUAUGUCAAAGUCCCUCCAUCAGAGGGUGUCCACGGCAUAGUUAGGAUUAAGCCACUUAGCCAUGGAGGCAAGUGAAUGCGCAACAAGGGAUCUCUAACCUUCAAACCGUUUGAGGGAGAAUACUCUAUGAUAUGAUUAAGAAUCUCUGGCCAGAGUAUGAAUGAGAUUUAGGAAGUCAUUCCAAAUCACAUUCAAGGUAAUUAUAUAAGUAAAUGAAUCAGAUUGGAUAAUAGACAUGAAUAAACUAUCAAUCCAAACAAUGUGGUUAAGAGUAUUGUAUUAGAGAAAUAUCGUAUUGCAUUGUAAUCCUAAACUGAAUAGGUUCUCCACCUCUUCUGAUUAGCUUGGGUAACCAUGACAUACUGCUAGGUGUCACUCAUGGUUUGUGGAAACCCUAAACGUGUAUAAUCACUAAAGGGAGAAUUGAAAGUAAGUUUCAAUUCACAAUCGAUUUGAAAGA